rnacentral:piRNA from 1 species
UAAGAGCCUCACCAAUGAUUGGG